UACGUAGGUGGCAAGCGUUAUCCGGAUUUAUUGGGCGUAAAGAGUGCGCAGGCGGGCUUGUAAGUCAGAUGUGAAAUCCUGUAGCUUAACUACAGAACUGCAUUUGAAACUAUGAGUCUAGAGUGUGGGAGAGGUAGGUGGAAUUCUUGGUGUAGGGGUAAAAUCCGUAGAUAUCAAGAGGAAUACUCAUUGCGAAGGCGACCUACUGGAACAUUACUGACGCUCAUGCACGAAAGCGUGGGGAGCAAACAGG
rnacentral:rRNA from 1 species